UACGAGGGGGGCUAGUGUUGUUCGGAAUCACUGGGCGUAAAGGGAGCGUAGGCGGGAGCCUAAGUUGGGUGUUUAAUUCCGGGGCCCAACCCCGGGCGUGCACUCAAAACUGGGUUUCUUGAAUAGGGGAGAGGUCGGUGGAAUUGGAGGUGUAGCGGUGGAAUGCGUAGAGAUCUCCAAGAACACCCGUUGCGAAGGCGGCCGACUGGACCCAUAUUGACGCUGAGGCUCGAAAGCAUGGGGAGCAAACGGG
rnacentral:rRNA from 1 species